AAACAGUCGCCAAUGACCUGCAGCAUCAGGCCCUUUGAAGAAGAGGCAAGUUCGCUCAUGAUGAAGAAAAAUCAAGGCGUACCCCUUUUGACAAUAGGGAGCAGCUCGAAACUGCAAAGAGGUUAUGGAUCCUUAACAAGACUUUGGGAAAGAGAUGGCUGAAGAAUAGAACAUUAACUAUGACUUCUCCAACGGUGUCAACUACGAGCCGCCUUCCUUUCCACCUCCAUGGAUUUAGUGUGACUCCAUUCCCC